AUUACUGGACAUUGGGGGCAACCCUGAUUCAGUCAUUCCGCGUGUGUGAAGAAGGUCUUCGGAUAUUAAAGCAUUCUAAGCUGGGAGGAGGGGCUUUAGGUUAACAUACUGAAGUUUUGACGUUACCAACAGAAUAAGCAUCGGCUAUCUCUGUGCCAGCAUCCGAGGUAAUACAGAGGGUGUAAGCGUUAAUCGGAAUUACUGGGCGUAAAGCGAGCGUAGGUGGUUCAGUAAGAUGGGUGUGAAAUCCCCGGGCUUAACCUGGGAACUGCUUACAUAACUGCUGGGCUAGAGUACGGUAGAGGAUAGUGGAAUUUCCUGUGUAGCGGUGAAAUGCGUAGAUAUAGGAAGGAACACCAGUGGCGAAGGCGACUACCUGGACUGAUACUGACACUGAGGUACGAAAGCGUGGGGAGCAAAC
rnacentral:rRNA from 1 species